rnacentral:lncRNA from 1 species
GCAGGUUUUCCUCAAGAAUAUCCCCUAUAAUCUCUACAGCAUCUUCCUCAGACCAAAGAUUGCCCAAACUCUUACAAAGGGCAGCCACUCGCCUCUCUUCUUCAUACUGAUUGGCCAUCUUCUUGAAUGCAAGAGCAGGAUCGAACGGGAUUUUGAGUGCUGACCUGAUAGAUUGUGAAGGCACCGAAGACGGGGUGGUAAAUCCUGCGCGAUUGAAGGGAGCUCUGAGUCUUCAAGUGAAGACAAAGAAAUCGACACCAGCUGGUUUGAAAUUUUCCUGAGAAUCGGAAUGGGGCGCUUGGAAAAAGCCAAGAUGUAAUGGAGGGCACUGCGUAUAGGCUAGUUGAGGGAGGGUUUUGAGGGGAGCGGAGGAGGAAUGGGGUUAGGGUUUUUACCCAUCCUCUUAAAUUGACUCUUUGGAAAUUGGGAAUGAUGAAGGUGGAAUACAGUGGUACUGGUGAGGGUGGAAUGCAGUGGUGAUGAGUAUAAGGUGGAAUCGGCUCUAUUUCAAUAGCUGUGAUACGCACUGCAUGUUAAACGUGG